AUAUUUUCGAGCCUAAAGUGCGAAGCGCCUAUGCGGGAAAUCAGUUCACUGGGCUGAUUUCUGAUCCCGCUCGAUGUGUGAGGCAAAUGCGACAAAACACAUAGCCAAUCACCAUCAGAGGGCUGGAGAUGAUUGACUUACGGCUUGGGAGGGAAUGGAAAUGGCUGUUAUAG
rnacentral:misc_RNA from 1 species